UACGUAGGUGGCAAGCGUUGUCCGGAUUUACUGGGCGUAAAGCGCACGUAGGCGGCUUUGCAAGUUAGAGGUGAAAGCCCGGAGCUCAACUCCGGAAUUGCCUUUAAGACUGCAUCGCUCGAAUCAUGGAGAGGUGAGUGGAAUUCCGAGUGUAGAGGUGAAAUUCGUAGAUAUUCGGAAGAACACCAGUGGCGAAGGCGACUCACUGGACAUGUAUUGACGCUGAGGUGCGAAAGCGUGGGGAGCAAACAGG
rnacentral:rRNA from 1 species